rnacentral:rRNA from 1 species
ACGGAAGGCAGCAGUGAGGAAUAUUGGUCAAUGGACGGAAGUCUGAACCAGCCAUGCCGCGUGCAGGAAUGAGGCCCUAUGGGUCGUAAACUGCUUUUGUGGUGGAGCAAUAAGUCCUACGAGUAGGGCGAUGAGAGUACAUCACGAAUAAGCAUCGGCUAACUCCGUGCCAGCAGCCGCGGUAAUACGGAGGAUGCAAGCGUUAUCCGGAUUUAUUGGGUUUAAAGGGUGCGUAGGCUGUGCUGCAAGUCAGGGGUGAAAGCCCAGUGCCUAACACUGGAACUGCCUUUGAUACUGCAGCGCUGGAAUACGGAUGCCGUGGGAGGAAUGAGUAGUGUAGCGGUGAAAUGCAUAGAUAUUACUCAGAACACCGAUUGCGAAGGCAUCUCACGAAUCCGUCAUUGACGCUGAGGCACGAAAGCGUGGGGAUCAAACAGGAUUAGAUACCCUGGUA